rnacentral:lncRNA from 1 species
GGUAUGAGAAGAGAAGAAGUUUGAGAGACAACCAGAGUAACUCAAUUUUAAGUCUGAAUUUGAGCGGCAGCUGGACAUCCAGAAUAAUACAGCAGAGCAACAGCGAUGGGAACCUGAACAGAAGAUGGAAGGUCAGCAAUAUGUGAUGAAAUGCCAGCUACAUAUAAGGUGCCUCACGAUUUUAAGACCAACAGUCUGAUACAAAUUUCACCAGCUAACUUCCACAGUGAGCAAUUACUCAACAAAGGCGCCACACAGGCAAGCGUGGGACUCAGGAUGGUGCAGCCCGUAGAAGAGGGGUUUGCUCUGGGGGGCUCCCCAAGAGUUUAGGAACCCCGGGUGCACCAUGGCCAGAGCCACCACACUGUGGGGUUGCCGUAGCCUCAUGAGUGCAGAGCAAACCGAGUCAGCAAAGGAGAAGUGACACCGCAGACUCACACUGUAAGCAUCUAGAUACCUUGGAAUUUCGUACUGAUGGCUGUUCAAUGUGCAUACUGCAUUCUGUUGACCAUCCUGUUGGCAUCCAUACUGUUACCACCCAAGACCAUCUGUUCCAUUGUCCAGCUAUGGUCUGGCACUGAUUAAUGAACUAAGCCCGGGAAGGAUAAAAGUAAGUAAGCCACAUACCUCUGUGUGGACUCGGACUCACCGUCAGCGGGCCUGCGGACCCGACAACCCACCCAUCAGCGGGGACGCCCCUGAUGCCAACUGCCAGAGAGAACCUGAAUCCUCUUGGCGCAGCUCGAGCGUGGUGAGAACAAUCCGGGGAAAACUAUACCGGAGGGGUGGCCCAUAAGGACAAGGAAAGGGCGAGAGCGGUCAUUAUACCGUGCAUCCGAGAGCAGUCAUUGUACUGUGCUUCCGUGGCUUAACCAUAGAGCUCUGAUAUGUGUAGUCUGUUCUGGUUUUAAUUCUUUACUAUACUGCUUAGCUUUGUUAUAUUUGUAGAUUGUCUGCUGUUAAUGGUUUAGUGUUGUCCAGUGUCCGUCAUAUGUGUAGAACCGCUUAGAUCUAAUAAAUUCUUACAUCUGACAAAAGAUGAUCUCUCG